UGACACGACCCACCCCGAAUUUCACCCUGAAACCCAAAGUAAGUCGUGCGGGGACCACCUCCAAGGAAAAUUUACUGAAAAGAUUAAGCAAAUCUCCCUUGCAGAUGGACAACCCUAACUCGAAAAUUUCAUAUUACACUUCUGAACAUCACAUAAUAUACAAAAAUUCUAAAGUAUUCAGAGCUACUAAACACAAGCGGAAGCAAGAAAAUACGAGUAGGUUGAACAGGUAACCUACUGGCGAAAACUGGCAGAAAUGCGGGUGACUAUGCCUCGUCUCCUACUAGAUCCAACCCGAACUCUGCAGACUGGGCAANNNNN
rnacentral:lncRNA from 1 species